UACGGGGGGGGCAAGCGUUGUUCGGAAUUACUGGGCGUAAAGGGCUCGUAGGCGGCCAACUAAGUCGGACGUGAAAUCCCUCGGCUUAACCGGGGAACGGCGUCCGAUACUGGAUGGCUUGAGUUUGGGAGAGGGAUGCGGAAUUCCAGGUGUAGCGGUGAAAUGCGUAGAUAUCUGGAGGAACACCGAUGGCGAAGGCAGCCCCCUGGGUCAAAACUGACGCUCAUGCACGAAAGCGUGGGGAGCAAACAGG
rnacentral:rRNA from 1 species